ACCGUGCCAUCAACAGAGGAAGAAACGAGGCGUGUGAUCAUCCACUGGCACAUAGAUAAAUCUGUAACCUCUCCAUCGUGCUUGCCAACAAUCUUCACACCGUCAACCAAUUUAUCAAGGUGGCACUGAAUCGGAGACUCAGACGAGAAUACUUCACCUCUGCCAACUUUAGUAGUAUCAACUAGGAGGACGUGUUUACCAAUUGAAACCACCAAAAUUUCCUGAAAAAAAUAUGAUUUUUAGGCAAUCAGAAAGUGUACACGAAGAAACAUAUGCAACUAAAAAGAAAUGGUUUUUCCAUACCUGUUUGUGGGAGUGCCAACAAACACGUGGAUGUUUGGUGUCUUCCUCACCAAGUAUCUGAAGAGCAAGAACAAUCUUCCCAGUUAUCUGAGGGUCAUCAUCUCCCUCAGAGCCUUCAGAUAUUUUCCACACGAAAACUUUUCCAUCUAAGCUAACACUGUUUUGGAGAAAUAGAAAAAGCAGACUUACGGUAAGGUGAUCUGUAAAAAACAGUAAAUAAAAAAAAGGUAGCAUAACGAAAAAGAACACAAACCUAGCCAAGAGAUGAACAUCAUGAGCAAAGAAGGCCAUGUCUGUCACUCGCUGCACACACACACACACAAACAAACACGAGUGUGAGUUAACAUAAGGAAGCUAAAACCAUAUGUAUACAAAGAUUAUUUUUUUAAUUAAUUAUUAUUAUUAACCUGAGAAUGGCCUCGGAAUAAAGCUCUCAACGCGGUGUUAAUAUUGAGAACACGAAUGUUUCCUCCUUUCAAUCCAUAGCAUAUGUAGAUCUUGUUCACUGCGAUUUGACGACCCACAACAAGCUGAGGAUCCGACCCGUAUUUAGUAAUCGGAGUCACCUCGAGCUGAGGCUGAAUCUCGCCGUGUAACCUCACGUCGACAUCGUACACAGCGUGCUCCCCGCUCAACCGCCUCCCUCUUGGAAGCUUACAGCUCGGCACGCGAAGAGGACCCGAAGGAAACGAGCGGAUCUCGGGAGCCUGAUGCUGCUGCGGCGGCGGAUCUUGAUUGUUCACGCCGCCGUUGUUGUUGAGGAGAGCCAGGAUGUGUGUGCCGGGAUUGUGAUUAGCGCUAGUGCGCGGCGACGGCGACGGCGACGGCGAAUGGAGGAGAUUCAGAGGCGGCGAGGGGAAAGGGAGUGAUCUCUGUUGUUGGAGGAGGCUACUCGAAGAGGAAGGCGCGGCUUCUUGUUGCGGAGGAGGAGGAGCGUAGGGUUGCUGGAGAAAGGGACCCGCGGGGGGAGGGUAAGACGCCGGCGGCGUGGGGAAAGGGCUCGACGAAGGUUUGAAGAGAGUACCGAGAUCGAACGGCGGAGGAUUGUUGGGGUUAGUGUUACCGGGUGAAGACGCCAUGGAUUUGAGCAGAUCUAAGAUCUACGAAGCUAGGGUUUGCGGAAUCGAUUGAUUAGAUGGAGAGAAAAAAGGAAAGACUCGGCGGAUCUGAUAAGUCACAGACUGAGAGCGAGAGAGACGAUGAAGAAGAAGAAGAAGAAGAAGAAGAAGACUUGAUAGUGAGAAGAGGAAGAGAACUUUUGGAGACUUUUAAUGAAUUGAUAAAUGAUCUAAGAUCGCGAUAGGUAAUGUAAUGGGAGGAGGUAUACUAGUAGUUAGUAGUAAUCGUGUAUUCAGCAUCAGUUUAAGGAUGAAUUUUUCUGGUAUUUAAUUCAUAUUUUUCAUUAAUAGGCCUUUGUUUCUAUUUAUGGGUCUUAUAUACCCAGCCCACGUUAGUUAGCCUGAAUCACUAGUCUUUUGGGUUUCUGCUGCUGGUUUGUCAAACACUUGCGGAAGAUGAUUACUUGUUAUAUGCUAGUUUAGCAAGGGAUAAAUGAAACCAAAUGAUUUGUCUUCAAACUUAUCAGUAUGCCAGACAUACCAUAUGCAACUCGCUUCAAGAAAGGAAUGGUUCAUUGUUUGGCUCAGGAUAUUGAUAGGAACCAGAUAUUACUAGGAGAUGAUCAUGUUAUUAUAUGUGUGUGUUUAGAUUUGUGUGUGUUUAGAUUUGUGUUUUUAGAAAACUUUUAAAUUUAUUUGUUUCUAAUAAAACGUUACAAAAUUAGGUAAAUUUUAUCAAAAUAAUCAAUAAAAAUAUCCGCGCUUUGAAAAUCGCGGAUCAAAAUCUAUUAAUAGCUUAACGUUGCUUUUACAUUAAAGUUUUUUUUCUCUAAUGUAAUAUUUAUAGGACCACCAUCAUGUUCUUCAAAGUCGUUAAGCUUAUCGAAAGAUGAAGUUGGGUUUGUUAAUUGGUGUGACGCUCCUCUUGUAUAUUGCACUAAUUAACCCCAACUUUGGCCAGAGUAACUUACUCAUCUCGUACACGAGUAAGUUCCAUCACUUAUAUUAGCAAAAAGUCAGAUCUAUUUGUGGAUUUACGUAUGUUCAGAGGCGGACUUAUGUUAGGGAAUAGUGUGGCAAGUUAAAUAUAUAGUUUUGGCGUUUUAGCUAUAUAACCAAUUGAUUUGGCAGUUUGGUUGGUUAGUUUCCUCCUCUACUGACUCGCCUUUUCUUAGGUUUAAAUCUCCUUGAUACCACUUCAUGAUUAUUUUUUAUAAUAUAUUCUAGAUUCCGAGUGAAGUUAAUGAAAUGAGGUACAAAUACAAUUUUUAGGAUAAUGGUAUGUAUAUAAACCUUUUUUAGGCUGAAGGUUAAUAAAUCUUUAAAGUAGAUCGAUGAGACAUGCCAUAUUUGAUUAAUAAAUCAUGACCAAAGCAAGUUAAACAAAUGGAUGCUAAAGAAGGAUCAAAAUGUCAAAUUUCUCAUCCGUCAAGAAGGCAAAAACCCUUGGUUUUGUUGCUUUUUGUGUGGGAAAUGUUUGUUUGAUUGGUGUUUUCUAGAACAAACAUUUUACGGACUAAAAACGGAGUAUCUUAGAAACAUCUUCACACUAACCAAAACCUAUGAGUCAGGGACGAGUCAAGUCCAGUUCAUAAUGGUAGUGGUGUAUACAGGACCGGAUCUAAGCAUAGACAAGUGAAAUAUUAGCUUUUGUCUCUAUUUUCUGGAUAUGUUUUCCAUAUGCAUAAUCCCCUAAAAUAUAUAUAAAAAAAUUAUUAAUAUUUAAAAAAAUUGUUUCUAUCCCCCCACCCACCCCCCCCCCCCCCCCCCCCCCCCCAAAAUCAGGUGUUUAUAUGCAGUGUGCUUUUGCAUAAGAAUUCUCUCACGCUUUUUUCGUAAUUUUUUCUAAAACAAUUGAACAUUUGUUGUGAAAAAUAUUGUAUAUAUACCAGUGACAUUCUUCUAUCAUGUUAAUAUACAUUUUCACUCUUUAAAUAAAAAUUAUAUAAGUUUUUUUAAGAGCAGAAAAUCCAUUUUCAACAUAUUUAUCCAACUUUUUACUUAAUCCAUUAAAUUUAUAAAAGAAAAAGAUUCCAAUAGUAUGUGAGAAGUGAUGCACUUCACUAGAACAAAAAGUCAAAAAUCUACUAAUUUUCCACGUUUUUGUAUAUAUAUUUUUAACAGAAACUACAACAACAACAAAAAACGAGGAGAGAAAUAAAACAGCUACAACAACAAAAGAAAUGUAAACACAAUAAAUUAAGGGUGAGAAAUAAGACACACUAUGCCUGAUAUGAUUCCAUUCCAUCAGGCAUCAUCAGUUAGUUGUACGAGGAGGCACAUAGAUGAAUAAUAACUUCUCCGCUCGCUUGCAUGUACGGUUUUGAUUCCAAGAAAUUUUGUUUAUGGAAAUUUUUAUAGAAUCAACGCGUCCACUGUAUAAACGCGUCUAAACAAGCGAGAAUCUACAUUUUAAGGAAAAAAUGAAAUGCAAAAAAAAAAAGAAAAACCAAAAAUGAAAGAUUUUAGUGAUCCUAUGGUUUGUGAACAAGAAGAUAGAACGAGAGGGAGUAAUCAUUUGCAGCCCAUAAGCAUGGAGUUGAGGACGUGCAUUAUAAGUCUGAUGGCAGAGACGUCACUGCCUGGUGCAUUAAGCUGGUGGUGCAGAAUUUGGUAGACUUGUUCAAAGAUUCGGCGAGCAUGAACCACAAUCAUCUGAUCUGAUGGGUUAAUCGCUGUAACCACAUCUGUCAUCCACCCAAGCUUACGGGAAGUGUCUUUGCUGAUGUCACAUGCUAGUUGCUGCAGCAGUGACAGUAGCACGCCUUGGCUCAGCGGCAGGGGAUUCAUAGCCAGUAGUCUAUGAAGAUCCACCUAUUACACAUCACGUUGUAAAGAUAAUGCAAACUUAAAAGAUUAGGAAAAUUAGAAACCAAAUUUUACCUGUGCGCAAAGCCAUGAUACUAUAGAGACAUCGCUUCUCUGUAGAGCCGAGGUAAAAGAUUCUUCGUACUUGCCUUCAGAUACCAACCUGGAUAAUUGAGCAGUUGGGUCCAUAGGUGCUUCAACCUGAAAUGACAUCAAUUGUGAUUGUAUGCAUAGAUACUUGGAGAAAACUCGGAAACAGACAGACAUCAAUUUGAGAUGUGCAAACCUUUUCAAGAAGAGUAGCUACUGGUCCCUUACUAACUUGAGUAACCGAGGGAUCUGACCCACCAGUUAAGACGCCUGAGCGAUUCCUUUGGCUCUCGGCUAAAGCACGACUUAAGGCUUGAGCAACUGACGACGUGGAAGUAAUGGUCUCCUGUAAAUCGCGAAAACUUUCUUUAGCAAGAGGAAUUACAUGACUCGAAUAAUACUGCUGGGAAAAAGGAUGAUUUGCCACCAUACCUUUAAAGUAUGAGCAAGCUGAGAGUGUCCAGCUUCAAACCGUUGUUGUGCUGCGUUUGUGUGCUCGGCAAUUCCUUUCUCCAAGGCUGUGUCUACUUGCUCUAACAUGGUCUUGCAUAACCUCUCAAAGGAUGGUAUGAGUGAGGCCUCCAGACCCGACUUAAGAGCUUCCUGAAAUUUUAAACAUGGUUAGAUAUAAGAGUUCAGCUCUGUUUUCGUCAAGGCCAAGCUAUGAUGCAGUUAACAUUUGCAGUACGUGUACAAGUACUUUAGAUUUUAAUACAAAGUAAACUCCAAUUUACCUGGAGAACUGGGAUGGCAGAGGUCUGAAAUUGCGUUUGAAUAUGCCUAGUUAAGGUUGCCUCAAUCUUUGAAUUAACAGAUCUGUCAAGCUGAUUGACUGCCUUGUCACCAAGUCCUCUCUGUAUACAUGAAAUUAAAAGCAGUAUUUAUCAACAAUACAACAAUAUAAAGAGAAAUCAGCUCUACCAAUUCUCGUAUAAUUCUAACCUGGAAGGACUCUGUGAUUGCAGAUGAUAUAGUUUUUUCAAUCGCCGGUGUUGCUGCACGUGCUAUGGCUGGAACAAUUGCAGCAAAUUCCUUCUUGACCGUUUUCUCAAACACUGCAUUUAACUCCUUGCUCAUGAAGUUUGUCGUCGCAUUCACAAUAUGCUGUGAAUGGUCACGCAUUGCCUUUUCACUCUUAACAGUCUCCUCCUGGAAGCGAGCCAAUAAAGCAUCGGCAUUUGACUUGCUCGUUCUCUCAGUCAUUCGACCUAUAGCCACUUCUAGUCUUUUACCUUCUUUAGUGACAGGGCCAUUGACAGCAUUUGACAGCUGUCUCUGCAUCUCCUUCUGCGAAACCAUUAUCUGCAAGGGAAAUGAUGUUCCAAGUCAGCAAAUAUUUAACAAAUUACUCAGGUACGUCUUAUGAAGAAACUAUUAUCAAUAAAUGCCAGUUAUGCAUAAGAGGACCCGUAAUACGCAAGUCACGGUCACAACAAGUUUAAUAGCGUGUGGGUAAAAUGAUGCAAGAGGAGAAAAGCAGAUAUUGUUAAGGAACUGGAUACUUAUUAGUUUCAAGAUCAAUUUGUCACCUGAUUCAUUGUCUCCUGCAUGGCCAAGAUCUGAGGAAGUGAAUCUGUCAAGGGAUGACUUAAGCUCUGACUUUUCUCAUUGUAGGAGUCAGCUGACGAAUUGGGAUUCUGAGAACUUUUGGCUUUCUGCUUCUUCCCUUUGCUAUUCGUUGCUGCCGACUGUGGAAGCCCACUAGAUGAAACCAACUCAGGAAUCUUUGCAGAGACAUCUCUUGACUCAAGACUAUCGUCAGCAUGUACAGACUGUUCAUAAGCCUUAGUUUCAUCUGUACUAGGAUAACAGUCUCUUGCCAUCUCAGUGCUGAGAUUCAAAGCUUGUGAGUAGAAGAUUUUUUCUCUACUCUCUGAAGUGCCAUUCAUAGUUUCUUCAUGAUAAUUGACUUCACCAACUUCACUCGCCUCAAUUUCUGUGCCACUUGCAUCGUUACUAACUCUAUCACUCUUGUCUUCAGUAGCAACGGGGGCUUCGGCAGACGAAACGCCCAUAGAGAACUCUGACGGUUUUACAAGAUGAGUAGGGUGCUUGAAAAAAGAUGGCGAGCUUCGGAUCCCAGACUCAUCGUCAUCAGGUGUUAUAUUCUUCUCCUCGCUACUUGAGCUUUCCUCAAAGGUGUGCUUAUCAACACCAUAAUCAGCAGAAGGUGCUUUGCCACUGAGCUCAUAACGAGAUUCUACCUGCUCAAAAGCUUCUACAGGAGUCUGAUAGCCAGAAAGUUUACUUGAUAGUCUGGGACUUAGAGGAAGCUGGGUUGCAGUACCAUACGCAGACCCUCCACCAUUGGUAUCAGAUAGCAGCCCAGAGGUUCUAGGCUCACUGUUGGAUGGAACAAUCGCUGGAGCUGUGGUAUCCCCUGAUGCAGAACCUUGCGAUCUAUUCACAAGUAUAGAUGGUUUAGGAACUGAAUCAACUGAAGGGAAUUCUGUAGGCUUCAGUCCAGAUGGUUCUGACAUGCCAUCAACAAGAUUUGCCUCCCGCGAAACACUAGAAUCUGACUUUUCCAAACCCACAUUCUCUUCUCCAGAAGGUGGCAAGCACAAGCAUAAAUCUAACGUAUACUGCUGGAUUGCUUGAGUCUGAACACAAUAAACCUUAACAAUGGGUUCUUCUGAAGGAUCAUGUGUACCUAUAAAACUUAAUAUCGGCAUAGUGACUGUAAACUCAGACAAGAAGUCCAUCCUUGUAUCAGCUGGAGAUGAGCCAUAGUCCAAAUGCACGGCAUAUAUGGCGUUCCUUUUCGCAUUUGCAAGCAAGAGCAGGCCUGCUUCAGACAACGCUGUGAUUUGGUUGAAAAACGCCAUCUCCGCUCGUGGUUCAGUUGAACUUUUCAAAUCGAGUUUCUGAGUACAAUUCCAUGACUCAGACUCAGCUGAUAGGAGCCAUCCUUCUUCCCCAGCUGGAACCCAAAUCUUCAUCUCUCGAUUUAGAGGUCCCUGCAAACAUUGGCAACACAGACAGAGUUAACAGCUAAGCAGAAAGAUAAGCUACAGUAUAACUGCAAGUCAACACCGCAGAGGACAUUUGGCAUUAGAUAAGGCUCAGAAAAGAUGGAAAUGCUGAUUCAAACGAAUUACCCCAGUGAUGAGUAUGAUGUGAUCAGGUCUCUCAGGGGAUGUCACAAAUGUUGAUGAAUUGACAGGAUAGCCAUCAUGAGGUCUCAGAACUGCAACUGGUUGUGCCAUAAAAUCUUUCCAUAUCUUAACCUGUUGGUAUUACGAGGGAAGGAAUAAGACUCACACGCAGACAAAAACACUAGCUAUUGCACCAAUAUGUUUAGCUUUUAAAGAGACUGUGCAAGGCUGGAUGAAACUAAACUAGCGAGCAAAACAAAGCUAAACAGGCUGACGGUGGUUCCAACUAAGUAACUUCACCAUUCCACCCAAGUAAGUAACGUAAUCAGCUUAAACUAGAGUUUUUGAGAAUAAUUUCAUUAUAAAGAUAUAAAUAGAUGAUGAAAACAGGAAGACUCGAGUGAAGCAAAAUGAUAAAGAUAAAUACAAACCGUGCCAUCAACAGACGAAGAAACGAGUCGUGUGGUCAUCCAUUGGCAUAUAGAUAAAUCUGUGACCUCUCCAUCGUGCUUGCCGACAAUCUUUACACCGUCAACCAAUUUAUCAAGGUGGCACUGAAUCGGAGACUCAGACGAGAAUACUUCACCUCUGCCAACUUUGGACGUAUCAAUUAGGAGAACGUGUUUCCCAAUUGAAACCACCAAAAUUUCCUG
rnacentral:lncRNA from 1 species